GAUUGGAGAAUUCAGUCCAUUUAUAUUUAGAGUGAUUAUUGAUAUAUGAGGGCUUAAUACUGCCAUCUUAUUGCACAAUUUCCGGUUCUUCUGCAUAUCCUUUGUUUCUUGUCCCGUGUAUAUUGGGCUACCAAUUUGAUUAGGUAGUUUUCUAUGUUGGCUUUCUUAAUUUUCUCCUUGUUUAUUGUAUAUGUCUCUGUUCUAAUUAUUUAUUUAGUUAGGUUCGUAUAAAAAAUCUUGAAGAUGAGAUGAUCCACUUUCUGAUUGCCUCUUAUUUCCUUAGACUAUACUGAUUCUGUCCCUUUCCUGUUUGAGGAGAUCUUUGAACCACUUGGCACUUCACUUCCUUCUACUAUCCAGAAAGUUCCCUCUAGGCCUGAGAGCUUCUUAACAAAGCAUUCCCUGGCUUUGACACUGAGUAUGGCUUUCAAGGAUGAUAUGGAGCCUCUGACCCCAGACAUCUGGACUGUUAGCCACAGUUUGUUACGUUCUAACAGCAUAUCAGGACUCAAUGCCCAUAUGAACAGAUAAAAGAAUCCUCACAAAAUGGCUUCCCCCAGUGCAGAAGGCCCCUUGGCUCUCACCUCACAGAAACUGGAGAAGGAGGCCCUGGCAUUUGUUUCUGCAGCUUGGUCUGCUGGGUUUAUUGCAGCUGAUGCUAAUGCCAGUACUGGAGAGAUAUAGUGCAUGGGGUCUUUCUGCUCAUCCCCUCUCUUGCCUGCUGUUAAGAGAUGAAUGGCCACUUACUCACUGAAAGAAACAAGCAAAUAAAAUCUCUCAUACACAGAGCAAAGCAGGCACCCACUUGAGGCCUCUGUGAAAGCACAGCUGCAGAUGAAGAAAGCACCCCCGCCCCCACUCCUGCUCUGCUCUCUGGCUAAUCAGGAUGUGGCCUGAGGGUACUUUUCACAAGGACUAGAGAGAAAGCACUGUAAAGCAGUGUCUGCAAUGUGCUGAUGUUGACUUCGCUCCAUUGCCUUUGCUUUUUAAAAAUGUACUUUCAAAAUCUUAAAGAUUUUUAGGGAAAAAAAAUGGCUGGAGACAAAGGGAAACUGCUUUGUUAUGAAAUCCUUUGGGAUAAUUCUGACAUUCUUGGGGUUCAGUUCGGGUGGGGAAGUUCCCAGAAAUCCAUAUUACUGAGGGUCACAUUCCUUCUUUACUGCUGAACUGCUGCAGGGAGAUGGAACUAAAAGCAUAACAGGAAUGAGGAGAGCCUUGCAGCAGCUGAGCCAGACUCGGGGUCCCCUCAGCACAGCUGAUCUGCCAGCAGUAAUCUUGGGUCUCCUGGGCAAAAAUUCUAUGCAGCUCCGUGACAGUCAGACUUCCCUUUCAUUGCUAAUGUGAAUGCAUCUUAUAGCUAUCACAAAAGAAAGGGAUCAUUAAAAGUGAACUGUACUGCUCUGGCUUUCGCCGCAUGCCGUGGGGGUGGGAGGAACCAGCAGUGUCUGGAAUCUCAUUAGAUCUGCAGGCAGGAAGCAGUUUAAAGCAUUACAUCAUAAGGUUGUCAAGGUAACUGGCCAGGCUGCCUCUCUGGAAUCCUGAGGUCCAUCAUGACAGGUUCUCUAGAUGAGGACUGAGCUGCACUGAGGAGUAGAGAAGUAGCCUGCAGCCUGAAGAAUGACAGCUGGCAGCCUAUGCUCAGAAAGGCAAGGAGACACUGAUGCAAUUCUUCAUCCAAGCAGUAAAAAAUGACUCUCAGUCUUUUCUCCCUUGAUGGGAAAUAAAAAGAUGAAGCCAACCUGUCUUCUAGAGACACACAAUCGAGGGAACACCUCAGGUGAGCUGUCCCCACAGCAUGGCCACUGACAAGUUGUGUAGGUCCACACCUGGGAA